UACAGAGGUCUCAAGCGUUGUUCGGAUUCAUUGGGCGUAAAGGGUGUGUAGGUGGCGCCGUAAGUCGGGUGUGAAAUUUCGGAGCUUAACUCCGAAACUGCAUUCGAUACUGCGGUGCUUGAGGACUGGAGAGGAGACUGGAAUUCAUGGUGUAGCAGUGAAAUGCGUAGAGACCAUGAGGAAGACCAGUGGCGAAGGCGGGUCUCUGGACAGUUCCUGACACUGAGACACGAAGGCCAGGGGAGCAAACGGG
rnacentral:rRNA from 1 species